AUCCAGCUGACUAGUGCCAAACAGGACGAAACGCGUGUCCUAGAU
rnacentral:hammerhead_ribozyme from 1 species